rnacentral:ribozyme from 13 species
UUGCUUCUUCUCUUUUCUUCUCUUGUUCUUUUUCUCCUCUUCUUUCUUCCUCUCUCUCCCUCUUUUAUUCUUUUCUGUCUUUCAGGAUAAUGGAGAAAAAAAUAAUGGACGACUUGAAUCGAGCUGUGUCGAGAGAUGACCUUAAAGAAUUGAAAAGAAGGAUUGAAGAA